CCGGGAGAGCGCGGACACCCGCCGCCGAAGGAGCAACCGCCCCGGUAAACUCUCAGGCACAAGGGACCGG
rnacentral:ncRNA from 2 species